CAGCCGCCGCGGUAAAACGAAGGGUGCAAGCGUUAAUCGGAAUUACUGGGCGUAAAGCGUGCGUAGGCGGUGAGUUAAGUCUGCUGUGAAAUCCCCGGGCUCAACCUGGGAAUGGCAGUGGAUACUGGCUCGCUAGAGUGUGUCAGAGGAUGGUGGAAUUCCCGGUGUAGCGGUGAAAUGCGUAGAGAUCGGGAGGAACAUCAGUGGCGAAGGUGGCCAUCUGGGACAACACUGACGCUGAGGCACGAAAGCGUGGGGAGCAAACAGGAUUAGAUACCCCCGUAGUCCCUGUCUCUUAUAA
rnacentral:rRNA from 1 species